GAAGAAACACUGCUUCGUGAAGCAGCUUGACGGUAUCGUAAGAAUAAGGAUCGGCUAACUCCGUGCCAGCAGCCGCGGUAAUACGGAGGAUCCAAGCGUUAUCCGGAAUCAUUGGGUUUAAAGGGUCCGUAGGCGGUUUAGUAAGUCAGUGGUGAAAGCCCAUCGCUCAACGGUGGAACGGCCAUUGAUACUGCUGAACUUGAAUUAUUAGGAAGUAACUAGAAUAUGUAGUGUAGCGGUGAAAUGCUUAGAGAUUACAUGGAAUACCAAUUGCGAAGGCAGGUUACUACUAAUUGAUUGACGCUGAUGGACGAAAGCGUGGGGAGCGAACAGGAUUAGAUACCCUGGUAGUCCACGCCGUAAACGAUGGAUACUAGCUGUUGGGCGCAAGUUCAGUGGCUAAGCGAAAGUGAU
rnacentral:rRNA from 1 species